GCAGCAGCCGCGGUAAUACGAAGGGUGCAAGCGUUACUCGGAAUUACUGGGCGUAAAGCGUGCGUAGGUGGUGGUUUAAGUCCGUUGUGAAAGCCCUGGGCUCAACCUGGGAAUUGCAGUGGAUACUGGGUCACUAGAGUGUGGUAGAGGAUAGUGGAAUUUCCGGUGUAGCAGUUAAAUGCGUAGAGAUCGGAAGGAACAUCUGUGGCGAAGGCGACUAUCUGGGCCAACACUGACACUGAGGCACGAAAGCGUGGGGAGCAAACAGGAUUAGAUACCCCCGUAAUCCCUGUCUCUUAUAC
rnacentral:rRNA from 1 species